GACGAACGCUGGCGGCGUGCUUAACACAUGCAAGUCGAGCGGUAAGGCCCUUUCGGGGGUACACGAGCGGCGAACGGGUGAGUAACACGUGGGUGACCUGCCUUUAGCUCUGGGAUAAGCCUGGGAAACCGGGUCUAAUACCGGAUAUGACUCCAUGACGCAUGUUGUGGGGUGGAAAGCCUUGUGCGGCUGAGGAUGGGCCCGCGGCCUAUCAGCUUGUUGGUGGGGUGAUGGCCACCAAGGCGACGACGGGUAGCCGGCCUGAGAGGGCGACCGGCCACACUGGGACUGAGACACGGCCCAGACUCCUACGGGAGGCAGCAGUGGGGAAUCUUGCGCAAUGGGCGAAAGCCUGACGCAGCGACGCCGCGUGAGGGAUGACGGCCUCGGUUGUAA
rnacentral:rRNA from 1 species